UAGUCCACGCCGUAAACGAUGGUCACUAGCUGUUCAAACUUCGGUUUGAGUGGCUAAGCGAAAGUGAUAAGUGACCCACCUGGGGAGUACGUUCGCAAGAAUGAAACUCAAAGGAAUUGACGGGGGCCCGCACAAGCGGUGGAGCAUGUGGUUUAAUUCGAUGAUACGCGAGGAACCUUACCAAGGCUUAAAUGUAGAUUGACAGUUGUAGAGAUACGAUUUUCUUCGGACAAUUUACAAGGUGCUGCAUGGUUGUCGUCAGCUCGUGCCGUGAGGUGUCAGGUUAAGUCCUAUAACGAGCGCAACCCCUGUUGUUAGUUACCAGCACAUUAUGGUGGGGACUCUAACAAGACUGCCGGUGCAAACCGUGAGGAAGGUGGGGAUGACGUCAAAUCAUCACGGCCCUUACGUCUUGGGCUACACACGUGCUACAAUGGUAGGUACAAUGAGCAGCCACAACGCGAGUUGGAGCGAAUCUUAAAAACCUAUCACAGUUCGGAUCGGAGUCUGCAACUCG
rnacentral:rRNA from 1 species